AUUGAACGCUGGCGGCAGGCCUAACACAUGCAAGUCGAGCGGCAGCGGGAAAGUAGCUUGCUACUUUUGCCGGCGAGCGGCGGACGGGUGAGUAAUGCCUGGGGAUCUGCCCAGUCGAGGGGGAUAACUACUGGAAACGGUAGCUAAUACUGCAUACGCCCUACGGGGGGAAAGCAGGGGACCUUCGGGCCUUGCGCGAUUGGACGUUCCCAGGUGGGAUUAGCUAGUUGGUGAGGUAAUGGCUCACCAAGGUGACGGUCCCUAGGUGCUCUUUGAGGAUGUGCAGUCACACUGGAACUGAGACACGGUCCAGACUCCUACGGGAGGCAGCAGUGGGGAAUAUUGCACAAUGGGGGUAACCCUGAUGCAGCCAUGCCGCGUGUGUGAAGAAGGCCUUCGGGUUGUAAAGCACUUUCAGCGAGGAGGAAAGGUUGAUGCCUAAUACGUAUCAACUGUGACGUUACUCGCAGAAGAAGCACCGGCUAACUCUGUGCCAGCCGCCGCAGUAACAC
rnacentral:rRNA from 1 species